rnacentral:rRNA from 1 species
AUGAGGGGCCUGAUAUGGAACAUCCGAGGGUUUGGGCAACUGGAUCUGAGGUGGCAACUAAUCGAGUACAUUAGAGACCAGUGCAUUGAUUUUGUGGGCCUGCAAGAAACGAUCCGUUCGUCCUUCUCUCAAGUGGAGUUGGCCUCGCUGGGGGGGACAGUGGGGUUCCAGUGGGAAUGGGUCCUGGUGUCGGGCCGGUCGGGAGGCAUCCUCCUUGGGGCUAACAUGGAGACCUUUGAAGCUCUAUCAUAUUCGAGGGGAGAUUUUUUCAUAGGAGUGGAGAUAAUUCAACGAAAUAUUAACUUCAAGUGGGAGUUAUUAGUGGUGUAUGGACCGGCGGACCAUUCCAGGUCCCAGGAAUUUUUGAGCGAAUUACAUGCCAAAGUGAGCCAGUCUACGAAUCGAUUGGGCAUUGCGGGAUACUUUAAUCUUAUCAGGUCAAGAGAGGAUAAGAGCAACCAGGUUAUUAAUGAUCAACAUCUUGUGGAUAUGUUUAAUGAGUGGGUGGCAGAUUUGGCGCUUAUUGAGCUGUAG